rnacentral:rRNA from 1 species
GAUUGGUNAUGGAGGCACUCUGAACCAGCCAUGCCGCGUGUGUGACGAAGGCCCUUUGGGUUGUAAAGCACUUUUGUCUGGGAAGAAUGGCGGGGAUUUAUCCUCGUAGGGACGGUACCAGAAGAAUAAGCACCGGCUAACUCCGUGCCAGCAGCCGCGGUAAUACGGAGGGUGCAAGCGUUAUCCGGAAUCACUGGGUUUAAAGGGUACGUAGGCGGUUUUGUAAGUCAGACGUUAAAGACUAUGGCUAAACCAUGGUACGCGUUUGAAACUGCGAGACUUGAAUAUAUUCGAGGUACAUGGAAUGCUUCAUGUAGCGGUGAAAUGCAUAGAUAUGAAGUAGAACACCAAAAGCGAAGGCAGUGUACUAGGAUAUAAUUGACGCUGAGGUACGAAAGCGUGGGUAGCGAACAGGAUUAGAUACCCUGGUAGUCCACGCCCUAAACGAUGCUAACUGGUCAUUUGGCGCAAUAGUCAAGAGACUGAGGGAAACCAUUAAGUUAGCCACCUGGGGAGUACGUUCGCAAGAAUGAAACUCAAAGAAAUUGACGGA